GACGAACGUUGGCGGCGUGCUUAACACAUGCAAGUCGAACGGAAAGGCCCUGCUUUUGUGGGGUGCUCGAGUGGCGAACGGGUGAGUAACACGUGAGUAACCUGCCCUUGACUUUGGGAUAACUUCAGGAAACUGGGGCUAAUACCGGAUAGGAGCUCCUGCUGCAUGGUGGGGGUUGGAAAGUUUCGGCGGUUGGGGAUGGACUCGCGGCUUAUCAGCUUGUUGGUGGGGUAGUGGCUUACCAAGGCUUUGACGGGUAGCCGGCCUGAGAGGGUGACCGGCCACAUUGGGACUGAGAUACGGCCCAGACUCCUACGGGAGGCAGCAGUGGGGAAUAUUGCACAAUGGGCGGAAGCCUGAUGCAACAACGCCGCGUGCGGGAUGACGGCCUUCGGGUUGUAAACCGCUUUCGCCUGUGACGAAGCGUGAGUGACGGUAAUGGGUAAAGAAGCACCGGCUAACUACGUGCCAGCAGCCGCGGUGAUACGUAGGGUGCGAGCGUUGUCCGGAUUUAUUGGGCGUAAAGGGCUCGUAGGUGGUUGAUCGCGUCGGAAGUGUAAUCUUGGGGCUUAACCCUGGGCGUGCUUUCGAUACGGGUUGACUUGAGGAAGGUAGGGGAGAAUGGAAUUCCUGGUGGAGCGGUGGAAUGCGCAGAUAUCAGGAGGAACACCAGUGGCGAAGGCGGUUCUCUGGGCCUUUCCUGACGCUGAGGAGCGAAAGCGUGGGGAGCGAACAGGCUUAGAUACCCUGGUAGUCCACGCUGUAAACGGUGGGUACUAGGUGUGGGGUCCAUUCCACGGGUUCCGUGCCGUAGCUAACGCUUUAAGUACCCCGCCUGGGGAGUACGGCCGCAAGGCUAAAACUCAAAGGAAUUGACGGGGCCCCGCACAAGCGGCGGAGCAUGCGGAUUAAUUCGAUGCAACGCGUAGAACCUUACCUGGGUUUGACAUGGAUCGGGAGUGCUCAGAGAUGGGUGUGCCUCUUUUGGGGUCGGUUCACAGGUGGUGCAUGCCUGUCGUCAGCUCGUGUCGUGAGAUGUUGGGUUAAGUCCCGCAACGAGCGCAACCCUUGUUCACUGUUGCCAGCACGUUAUGGUGGGGACUCAGUGGAGACCGCCGGGGUCAACUCGGAGGAAGGUGGGGAUGACGUCAAGUCAUCAUGCCCCUUAUGUCCAGGGCUUCACGCAUGCUACAAUGGCUGGUACAGAGAGUGGCGAGCCUGUGAGGGUGAGCGAAUCUCGGAAAGCCGGUCUCAGUUCGGAUUGGGGUCUGCAACUCGACCUCAUGAAGUCGGAGUCGCUAGUAAUCGCAAAUCAGCAACGCUGCGGUGAAUACGUUCCCGGG
rnacentral:rRNA from 1 species